rnacentral:rRNA from 1 species
AGCGAACGCUGGCGGCAGGCCUAACACAUGCAAGUCGAACGGACCCUUCGGGGGUAGUGGCGGACGGGUGAGUAACACGUGGGAACGUGCCUUUAGGUUCGGAAUAGCUCCUGGAAACGGGUGGUAAUGCCGAAUGUGCCCUUCGGGGGAAAGAUUUAUCGCCUUUAGAGCGGCCCGCGUCUGAUUAGCUAGUUGGUGAGGUAACGGCUCACCAAGGCCACGAUCAGUAGCUGGUCUGAGAGGAUGACCAGCCACACUGGGACUGAGACACGGCCCAGACUCCUACGGGAGGCAGCAGUGGGGAAUCUUGCGCAAUGGGCGAAAGCCUGACGCAGCCAUGCCGCGUGAAUGAUGAAGGUCUUAGGAUUGUAAAAUUCUUUCACCGGGGACGAUAAUGACGGUACCCGGAGAAGAAGCCCCGGCUAACUUCGUGCCAGCAGCCGCCGUAA